rnacentral:rRNA from 1 species
UACGAAGGGGGCUAGCGUUGCUCGGAAUCACUGGGCGUAAAGCGCACGUAGGCGGCUUUUUAAGUCAGGGGUGAAAUACUGGAGCUCAACUCCAGAACUGCCUUUGAUACUGGGAAGCUUGAGUCCGGAAGAGGUGAGUGGAACUCCGAGUGUAGAGGUGAAAUUCGUAGAUAUUCGGAAGAACACCAGUUGCGAAGGCGGCUCACUGGUCCGGUACUGACGCUGAGGUGCGAAAGCGUGGGGAUCAAACAGG